AACGAACGUUAGCGGCGCGCCUAACACAUGCAAGUCGCACGAGAAAGGGAGCAAUCCCCGGUACAGUGGCGCACGGGUGAGUAACACGUAGGUAAUCUGCCUCCGAGUGGUGGAUAACCUUCCGAAAGGAGGGCUAAUACAGCAUGAGACCACGACCACGAGAGUGGAUGGGGUCAAAGCCGGCCUCUAUACAUAAGCUGGCGCUUGGAGAUGAGCCUGCGGCCCAUCAGCUAGUUGGUAGGGUAAUGGCCUACCAAGGCAAAGACGGGUAGCUGGUCUGAGAGGAUGAUCAGCCACACUGGAACUGAGACACGGUCCAGACUCCUACGGGAGGCAGCAGUGGGGGAAUCUUGCGCAAUGGGCGAAAGCCUGACGCAGCGACGCCGCGUGGGUGACGAAGGCCUUCGGGUUGUAAAGCCCUGUGGGGGAGAAGAAUAAGUGGGUGCGAAUAGCACACAUGAUGACGGUAUCCCCUUAGCAAGCACCGGCUAACU
rnacentral:rRNA from 1 species